rnacentral:ncRNA from 1 species
GACCCUGACCCUCGAAUUGUCACCGGACGGUGCGCGUUCCAAACUAACGUUUGGAUAGAGACAGGGUCGUUU